CGUUAGGAACUUCACUCUACCCACAAGGGCAGGUUGUCUGGGAUGAACUAAAUGGAGCAACUUGACAUCAAUAUUGUUACAGAGCGUGUUAACAAAGGCUCAGCCACAGCAUGAAGACCAGGAAAGAGUGGCACAUGGCAGCACUUACCCACACGGUCCUGGAGAAAUGCUGACCGUUGGACAGUUUAAGACUCUUGGAGACUUUUAUUUAGCUGGACAUGGAUUGUUCUGUCCUAGGAGCUGUUCCCUGCCCCCACCCCACGUGCUCCUCCUCGUCUGGACCACAAUCUCUCUCCCUUUCUCUGGUGACACUGCAGAACACCUCUGAGCUACAGUGCAAUAGCACAGAUCUUGUUCCAUGGAGUUUAAACUCUACAAGGAGAUCAUCAGAGGACAGAGCAGCUGAAUGACUAAAGUCUAACUCGGUGGAGAUAUGAAAUUUGGCACUUUUCCCCUUCUGGUUAGCAGCCCCCAAAGCCAUUCUAACUGCAGUAACAUGAAUGACACCCUACUUCUCAAGCUUACGAAGCCUUCCUCGAACGCCACCACCAGGCCAGCAU
ensembl:lncRNA